rnacentral:rRNA from 1 species
GAGCCUGAGAAACGGCUACCACAUCCAAGGAUGGCAGCAGGCGCGCAAAUUACCCAAUCCCGACACGGGGAGGUAGUGACAAUAAAUAACAAUACGGGGUUCUUUAGAAUCUCGUAAUUGGAAUGAGUACAAUUUAAAUCUCUUAACGAGGAACAAUUGGAGGGCAAGUCUGGUGCCAGCAGCCGCGGUAAUUCCAGCUCCAAUAGCGUAUAUUAAAGUUGUUGCAGUUAAAAAGCUCGUAGUUGAAUUUCGGGGUUAGUAGGUUGGUCAUGCCUCUGGUAUGUACUGGUCUCACUGAUUCCUCCUUCCUUAUGAACCGUAAUGCCAUUAAUUUGGUGUUGCGGGGAAUUUGGACUGUUACUUUGAAAAAAUUAGAGUGUUUAAAGCAAGCUAACGCUUGAAUACAUUAGCAUGGAAUAAUGAAAUAGGACGUUCGAUCUUAUUUUGUUGGUUUCUAGGAUUGACGUAAUGAUUAAUAGGGAUAGUUGGGGGCAUUAGUAUUCAAUUGUCAGAGGUGAAAUUCUUGGAUUUAUUGAAGACUAACUACUGCGAAAGCAUUUGCCAAGGAUGUUUUCAUUAAUCAAGAACGAAAGUUAGGGGAUCGAAGACGAUCAGAUACCGUCGUAGUCUUAACCAUAAACUAUGCCGACUAGGGAUCGGAUGAUGUUAAUUUUUUAAUGACUCAUUCGGCGCCUUACGG